GCCAGGGCGCCUCAACACAGUUUUUUAAAUACACAAAACAUAUGUACUAAAAACAAUGGUGCGGUAAAAACAAAAUAAUGCAAACUAGAAAAAGGACAAAAUUGACAUUUUAAAAACUUUAUUAUGUAUUAUUAAAUAUAUAUUAAAUAGAAGUGUUAUAAAAUUUAGCGUCCCUAUCUCCCCGUCUCGGUGAGAGGUCAGAAACCUAACUUUUCUAAGCCACAAUUAAGCAAACACAUCUGGCCUAAUCACAUGGACCAACAUCUCUCCUAACAUCAUGCAGGAAGUUUCAGGAGCUCCUGCAAAACUCUACCACCUUGCAUUUGAACAGAAAUGUCAACUGAUACAAUUACCCAAGACUUGUGUAAGAUAUUAGACUGAAUCUCACAAUCACACUCAGCCUGAUUAUUAACCCUUCUCCUGCAUCUUGCUCACCUAAAUGUAUCUACAUUUUCUAUGAACUGAAUAGCUUAGAAAUGUAUGUCGUCCAUGUAUUAUAGUGUAAGUUAUUGUAAUAUAGAAAUAUGGAUUUUCUUUAACUCCCAUUUUCUGCCUAGGAAAUAGCAAUGUUUUUUGAGUAUGGCAAGUGUUUCCAAGCAUUGAGAAGUGGAGAGUGUAGGAUAUCCACUGCUAAAUGAGGUCUGCUUGUCAUCCUCUUAGUCUCCACUGCUAUCCCUCCCUCAUCUCUCUCUGUUUCAUUGAGACCAAAAGACUAGGAGCCUGGCUUCUAGUUUUCAAAAGAGCUAAGUGACUGACCUAGGCCGAUGACUUGCAAUCCUCAUUUUACAGUUGAACCACCUGAGGAGCUUUUUCAAAAUAUACAUGUCUGGAUUCCAGACCCAGAGAUUCUGAUUGGGCAUAAAGGCAACACAAGUGGUCAGGCUCAGCUACUCUGGUUCCUACAGACUUUCCCCUUUGGGAUAGCGUCUCUCACCAUCUUGACUGCUUACCAACAGAAGCGCCAAAACCAAACUUGAGGAUGUCCACAAGCUUGCUCUACACUUCUACAUUCAUCCUCAUCUUUUUUGUGUGUGUUUGUGGGGUAGGGGAGGUGCAGUGUUUACUCAGUGAUCUUUCUACUUUCUAGAAAGUGUCUGUCCUUCAAAACUAUUUAAGAGCCUCUCAUUAGUCAUUUUUUCUCUUAUAUGCUCUGGUUGAGCUUGAAUAGACCAGUUGUUGCUUAAGAAAGAAACCGAAAAGAUUUUAGCUUUUCAGUCCUAUUUGGCAGAGGACUUCAGCUACCUUCUUAUGGUCUUUGGCUGUGUUGGUGCCCUCAUGUGCUCUGGGCUAAGCCACAUACUAAAUUGACUUUUUGGUUUGUAUACCCUUGCUCUCGCCUUCUGAUGAAAACACCUUACCCUCACCACCACCAUCUUUGCUCUCCUUUCCCAAAACUCUUUCCACCUUGCUGCACUAAGAUAGUGACACCUCCACCACAUGUCAAUUCCACACACAUUUGUUAGGUACCUGUGAAGCAGGAUCUUAUCCUCUUAAACUUCCAAUUCUCACACUAGAGAGAAAGAUAAGGAAGAUGAGCAAGUGCCUGGAAUGGGGCAGGCAAUGGGGCAGGCUGAGUGGUCACACAGGCACAGAGGCACACUGACAGAGCAAGACUCCAUCUAAAAAAAAAAAGAAUGACCACAACAAAUUGUGAAUUAUGUUUCCAUUUUCAUCCACACUGCACAAUAGGAGUCUUUAGUAUUCACGUUUCUCUUCUUGGAGAGGAGAUUUGUGCUCUGAUUCCACAGUAAACAUUUGAAAAUCCUACUCAAAAUACUGUAUUUGCAAAUUCUGCGAAGUAUUUUAAGAUGGCUUCUAAGCUUUUAU